AAAGCAGGCUGCAAUUACAGUGCUUCAUUCUGUGGGAGGACUGCCAUUAACCUGCUGAGAGUAAAUGCUGCUGUGAAUUUACUGGCUUCACCUGCUUGUGGUGAUGGGCAUUCUUUGUGGCAGCUACAAAA